GAUGAAGAACGCAGCGAAAUGCGAUAAGUAAUGUGAAUUGCAGAAUUCAGUGAAUCAUCGAAUCUUUGAACGCACAUUGCGCCCACUAGUAUUCUGGUGGGCAUGCCUGUUCGAGCGUCAUUUCAACCCUCAAGCCUGGCUUGGUGUUGGGGCUCUGCGCCUGCAGUCCCUUAAAUCCAGUGGCGGACACGCUAGGUCUCCGAGCGCAGUAGUUUCUUCUCGCUCAGGGCGUCCGGCGUGGGCUUGCCUCGCACCCAUCUUAUCAAGGUUGACCUCGGAUCAGGUAGGAAUACCCGCUGAACUUAAGCAUAUCAAUAAGCGGAGGA
rnacentral:misc_RNA from 1 species